rnacentral:rRNA from 1 species
UACGAAGGGGGCUAGCGUUGCUCGGAAUCACUGGGCGUAAAGGCGCGUAGGCGGCCGAUCAAGUCAGGGGUGAAAGCCUGUGGCUCAACCACAGAAUUGCCUUUAAUACUGUUCGGCUCGAGACCGGAAGAGGUAAGUGGAACUGCGAGUGUAGAGGUGAAAUUCGUGAGAUUAUCAAGAACACCAGUGGCGAAGGCGACUUCCUGGCCUGUUCUUGACGCUGAGGCGCGAAAGCUAGGGGAGCAAACGGG